rnacentral:rRNA from 1 species
GGCGGACGGGUGAGUAACGCGUAAGAACUUGCCCUUUAGACUGGGAUAACAGAGGGAAACUUCUGAUAAUACUGGAUAAGUUAGUAUAUCGCAUGAUAUGCAAAUGAAAGCUACGGCACUAAAGGAGAGCUUUGCGUCCUAUUAGCUAGUUGGUAAGGUAGGAGCUUACCAAGGCGAUGAUAGGUAGCCGGCCUGAGAGGGUGGACGGCCACAAGGGGACUGAGAUACGGCCCUUACUCCUACGGGAGGCAGCAGCC